rnacentral:rRNA from 1 species
UACAGAGGGUGCGAGCGUUAAUCGGAAUUACUGGGCGUAAAGCGUGCGUAGACGGCUAUCUAAGUCGGGUGUGAAAGCCCCGGGCUCAACCUGGGAAUUGCAUUCGAGACUGAGUAGCUAGGGUACGGUAGAGGGAAGCGGAAUUUCCGGUGUAGCGGUGAAAUGCGUAGAUAUCGGAAGGAACAUCAGUGGCGAAAGCG